rnacentral:tRNA from 1 species
GCCCUCGUGAUGAAAUUGGUAGACAUAAAGGACUUAAAAUCCUUGCCCAUUAGGGAGUGCCGGUUCGAGUCCGGCCGAGGGCACCA